GUAUUACCAAUAUAUUAUUUAUUAUAGUUAAUAAUUAUUAAUGUUAACAGGGUUGGGAAGAGGAAGAGAUCUUCAGGCUCAAGAGGCAGAAAGGGCAUGAUGGUUUCAAGAGCAAGAAGCUGGAGGGGUGGGUAAGAAGUGAAGGUUUUCCAGCCCCAUCCUGUCCCACAGGAGAAUCUUCCCUAGAAGGGAGCCCUCAGGCCCUGGGUAUGCUCUCACAUAGUUCCUGGAGGGAACUGCUGAGGGACAUGGAACCCAAUGACCGCAUCAGUUGCCAUUUGCAUGUAGAAGGAACCAUCCCAAUGUAACAUGGCAGAAGACAUAAGAGGGUGGCAGGAGGGGAGCCUGAGGACAAGGCAACAUGACUAAGUGCGAACACAGCACGAAGCCGGGCUCCUCUGAGCAGCUGGAAAGAGCGCUCUCACCUCAUCUCUGGGAAGAGACGGAGGCCAGCCUGACAGAGAACGAGAAAACUGCCAGGGGAAGGUGAGGUAGGUAGCUGUCCACCCAUCAGAAAGUAAAGUGAUGUUUAGUAAGACCAAGGCCAGACCGAAGAGCCACUGGCCAGGAUGGAAUAGCACACAG
rnacentral:lncRNA from 1 species